GAUGAACGCUGGCGGCGUGCCUAAUACAUGCAAGUCGAGCGAACAGAUAAGGAGCUUGCUCCUUUGACGUUAGCGGCGGACGGGUGAGUAACACGUGGGUAACCUACCUAUAAGACUGGGAUAACUUCGGGAAACCGGAGCUAAUACCGGAUAAUAUUUCGAACCGCAUGGUUCGAUAGUGAAAGAUGGUUUUGCUAUCACUUAUAGAUGGACCCGCGCCGUAUUAGCUAGUUGGGAAGGUAACGGCUUACCAAGGCGACGCUACGUAGCCGACCUGAGAGGGUGAUCGGCCACACUGGAACUGAGACACGGUCCAGACUCCUACGGGAGGCAGCAGUAGGGAAUCUUCCGCAAUGGGCGAAAGCCUGACGGAGCAACGCCGCGUGAGUGAUGAAGGUCUUCGGAUCGUAAAACUCUGUUAUUAGGGAAGAACAUACGUGUAAGUAACUGUGCACGUCUUGACGGUACCUAAUCAGAAAGCCACGGCUAACUACGUG
rnacentral:rRNA from 1 species